rnacentral:rRNA from 1 species
AUUGAACGCUGGCGGCAUGCUUUACACAUGCAAGUCGAACGGCAGCGCGGGGCAACCUGGCGGCGAGUGGCGAACGGGUGAGUAAUACAUCGGAACGUACCCAGAAGUGGGGGAUAACGUAGCGAAAGUUACGCUAAUACCGCAUACGUUCUACGGAAGAAAGUGGGGGACCUUCGGGCCUCAUGCUUUUGGAGCGGCCGAUGUCUGAUUAGCUAGUUGGUGAGGUAAAGGCUCACCAAGGCGACGAUCAGUAGCUGGUCUGAGAGGACGACCAGCCACACUGGGACUGAGACACGGCCCAGACUCCUACGGGAGGCAGCAGUGGGGAAUUUUGGACAAUGGGCGCAAGCCUGAUCCAGCAAUGCCGCGUGAGUGAAGAAGGCCUUCGGGUUGUAAAGCUCUUUUGUCAGGGAAGAAACGGCUGAGGAUAAUACCUUCGGCUAAUGACGGUACCUGAAGAAUAAGCACCGGCUAACUACGUGCCAGCCGCCGCCGUAA